rnacentral:lncRNA from 1 species
UUUUCUUUUCUUCUUCUCUCUAUACGUUGGUUUUCUAACCAAUAAUCACCGAUUCGAUAUUCUAUCCGAUUGAUUCAGGAACCAACUAACGAAUGCCAAAGUGUUGUACUUUGUGAAUUUCGUUAAACGAAUGCCAAAGUACUGUCUAAACAAGACUAUACUUUGUGCAUUUUGUUAAGGUUCGAAUCUCGUGACCAUCGUUAGGUUUGAUUAGGUUUAACACUAAUACGUAUUCCAUUCUGUUAAACUAAAUGUUUAACUACUCGAAACUCUACACCAUACACUUAGAAAUCAAAAUGGAUGCUUAAUCAUCAGAAGAUUCAUAACUAUAAGUAGAUGUGUAAUCAUCGGAAGACUUAGAAUCAAGACUAUAUGCUAACAAGGGAUCAAGUCUUUGUAGUCUUCAAUUACAGCCGAUAUGUGGGGUUUUGUAUACAUUACUUGAUAACCAUCACCAUUGGACAACGGGUUAGCCAAUGGGUGAUAUGACCAUAGUCACAGAAACGAGUCGAGUGACAAAUACCUUUGGGUAAUUGGUUGAUAUAUAAACAUUGUAAUCGCUCUUAAUACUGUGAAUUAUAACAAAUAUGUUUUUGUACAAAAAUGAAUGAACUCACCAAUAUUUCCUGCUGACCAAAUGUUUUUAAAACGCAUUUCAGGUGAUUAUAGUAGAUUGGAAUAAGAGGGAUGAUACUGCACAGAAAGGCUUAAAGAAGUGGCUUAUUUUAUCAAUUAAAUUAAGAAAACAUGAUUUCAUAUAUUUGGGUUUAUCCCUUAUUAAAGCUACCUUUGUAAAACAUGGGUUUUAUCCCAUCUAUUUAAAUAAAUGAAAUCCGGUGUUUUCUAAACUCUGAUAUUUUUCCUAACUCACGGUCCUGAUGAACAUUUCCGCUGCAAUGUUUUUAAAAUAACCACCGGUACCACAUGACUGCUCGCGGCUCCCGUCCAGGGUGGUAUCAGAGCCACUUAUUUAAGCAAUUGGGUGUUGUAAUAAUACCUAAGCUUAAACGAAAGAGUUAGGAAAUUGUUAUUAACUGGUAGCAACAGGAUAGAAUUUAGACUUGAACUUAAGAAAGAUGCCUUAGUAUAAGCUUCGAGAUAAGCUAAUUACUUGCGUAGAUAAAAUGUGAUGGGUGAUUAGUAUGCCGUGAGGAUGAUGACUAGAAUGUUGCAAGUAUGGUAAAUAAGCGAUAACACUUGGCCACUGUUAUUUCUUGUUUAUUGGUACUACUGGAUUCUAGAAUAUGAUCCAUCAUGUGAAUAAUAAUUACCUUGUUCUUUGAUAAAAGCUCUAAUAAAAGAUUCAUUUUUAAUCAUCAAGAUUCUAUUUAUGGGAAAUACAAAUUACCUCUCCGGCGAGAACCGGGUAAGAUGCGUAUAGAAUAUGUCAAACAAGUGACAGAAUUCCCUAAUAGUAUCAUGACCUGAUGUCUGACUUGUCUUUGGAAAUAUGAAUCUGUUAAAUACAUUGACCUUAUGAAUGGUAUGUAUAUUACAUUAUGUGAAAUAUAUGAUUAUAUAGAUAUCUAUAAGGAAAUCCAAAACCAUAAGGAUUGACAAUUUAGAAUAAAGCACAAGCAUAUGUGUCAAUAAUAAUUAUAGAUUUCUUUAUCAGGAAUCUCUCGUAUACAUCUAUAAUUCCGAUAUCGAACAUUAUUUCGUUUGAUCAUCUGUCUCUUAAACUCGUGCUACAAGAAGUAUAUGAACCCUUUAUAUUGGGAUGCCAUCGAAAGUAUAAGAAUUCCCUUUGCGUUACCUUAGAUCAUUAACACAUUAGGAAACCUGUAGAUAAAGUUGUGCUAGGCACAAGACGUCUUAAAACUUACGCUAAUAAGAGUAAUUCUACUUUCUUUAAGAACUCUUGCAAAGAUAAGAGUAACCACGACUAGAUGCACUUACAAAGACUUUCUUCACCUAUAAUCCUACUAAGAUUACCAGAAGCUGUUACGAAAUACCUGGGCUGCAAAGGACUAAAGUUGUCUUAACCAUUAGUAUAAUGAAGUAAUGUAUGCUUCAAAAUUUAGACAUUUAGAUAGUGAAACCCGAUCUUCGAAACACAGGAUCAAGACAUAUGC